AUGAAUCACAAAUGAAGUGAGAAGAUUUGCGAAGUUAAAUCUGAGAAACGGAAGAAGAUGCAGAAGAUUAAUCCAGCCUCCUGAGGCCAGCCAUGAACUUCCCUCAGAGAUCUGUCUGCAAAAGCCGAGAUCAGAAAAGUUGUUAAACCACAGGCUGGGCCCCACUUCUAAAUAUGGACCAAGGAUCAUGAACAUUUGAGGAAAGCCUCUAACGUGAAAAGCC